rnacentral:rRNA from 1 species
UACGGAGGGUGCAAGCGUUAUCCGGAUUUACUGGGUUUAAAGGGUGCGUAGGUGGGUUGGUAAGUCAGUGGUGAAAUCUCCGAGCUUAACUCGGAAACUGCCAUUGAUACUAUCAAUCUUGAAUAUCCUGGAGGUGAGCGGAAUAUGUCAUGUAGCGGUGAAAUGCUUAGAUAUGACAUAGAACACCAAUUGCGAAGGCAGCUUACUACCCGAAUAUUGACACUGAGGCACGAAAGCGUGGGGAUCAAACAGG